CGCACAUCCCAGGGAGAACGCGCCUUCCAGCCUCCAGCGAAGUGGCGCGCGGAUCUGGGCCAGAACUCUCCAGAGCUGCGCCGCAGACGGCGAAAACCAGAGGUGGUUACAGUCAAGUUUAGGGACUGCAGGAGCGAAUUCCCGAAGGCUUGCAGGAGCCGCCCGGCUCUGCCUCCAGCCUUUCUCUCUGGGCCUAGCGGGACUCUCCCAGGCAGGCCCCUCCCUGCCCGCGGGCGCACUUUCCCCGCCUGCAUCUGAGGCGUGGCGCAGCUGGGAGCAAAGCACAGGUGGGCUGGGCGCGGUUUGGGGUUCGGGCGUGGCAGAGUGGCGGCGGGGUCUGGGGAAGAGUUGUCUUGGGGGCAGCGCCAGCCACCAGAGCCCGAGUCAGCGCGGCCAGGACUCUGCAGGGGCAGGUAGCGACCCUUAGAGACGCAACGUGGCGCAGCGGACUCGGCUGCGUGGGGCAAGGGCCGGGGCCGGACACAGGAGCAGCGGGGAUGCCGGGUGCGCUCCGAGGGUGUGGCCCCCGGGCUGUGCGGGGCUCAGAGCUGCUUGCUGGGCGCGGUGCCCGACAAAGGCAGACUCUUUUCUCCUGGAGGCAGGAUGAUUGCCAACAGCUCCCGGAAAACAUCUGCUGACUUGGUCACUUCCAGGAGAAAGCUGCUGUCCCCAGAUAGUCUCAGCACAAGUCCUGGGGUUGCUCGUCACAGGCUGUUUGGCAUAACUGGGAUCAGGUGCCCAUCUUGAACCACUCACUGUAGCCAGCUCUGAACCAGGGGUAGAGAUCAGCCCCUAGUUGAGGGACUUGGGCAAAGAGUAGGGGAGGGGUUCCAGGUGGGCAGUGGAUACUGAUGGAGACAGGAGCUGGAGUGGGUGCCACGCCAGUUACCAUAGUCUCCCGGGUCCUGGAAUUGUGCUACAGGAGUCCAAAUGGGAUUCUCCAGCUCUGCAAACUCAGGAGUCACAGUUUCGGUUCAUAGUGUUGAUAUUUC
rnacentral:lncRNA from 1 species